AAAAGAAUAAAUAAAGUUUUUCUUCACUAAGCUUUAUUGGUUUUUGUUUUGUUUUGUUUUGUUUUUUGCUUCACAGAUCUUGUUAAAGCAUUUUUCCAAACCUAUUAAAUUAAAAUCUGGAAUAGAUCUGUUCUCUAAUUUCUUCAGCAACUUUGUUUUAUGAAGCACCCAUUUAUGCCCAUUUAUAUCUUAGACUGGAAAUUGGCAAUCUGCAGCACAUGUGGCAAACCCAACCCAUGGCCUUUUGAUUUUUUUUUUUUUUUUAAUGUUUCUGGAGGUAAGAAUGGGUUUUACAGUUUAAGAAUAUAGUGAAAGGAAGACACCAAGGGGCACCUGGAUGGCUCAGUGGGUUAAAAGAAGACACCAAGAUUGUAGAGAUUGUAUGUGGCCUGCAAAAACUAACAGUGGUUAUGAUAUGUCCCUUUAUAGGACAAAUUUAAUAUAUAAUAUAUAAUGUACAUACAGCUUUUUAAUGGUUUACAGUUCAUCUGAAUUAGAAAAAUGUUUUGCUGUAAUCUCUUUGCAUAAUCCUGCAUGUAUUGUAGGAAUUUAUGGAAUUUGUCAGUUUUUAUUUUGAUAUGAUCUUUUAUUGAUCAGGGCCAAAUGUGUAUGCGUGACACUGCAGACUUUCAUUAAAUGAGCUUGGCUUUUUGAGAGACAAAGAAUGUGCGUGGUGAAGUAGUGAACCAGCACACUUAGGCUUACUUCCUUGGGAGGGUGUGGACAUUUUUGUGAUAUUGCUUUAGGGGUGGUGAUGAGUUUGAACAUUGUCAUUUCUCCAUUGGUGUAGGGUUUUUCUUUGAUACCAUUGUCUGCUGCAUAGAGAGUUAUUUCCUUGAAGCUGUAUUUUGAUAUUAAUUUGGGUUAUGUAUGGUUGGUUUGGAUGAGAGUUUUAAUACCCAUAGCUUCUGGCAAAAAUCCCCUGGUUGCCUGGUUAUAAUGCUUUGUCGUUUAUCAUAUUUUAUUGACUGUAAAGCGUACUUUUUCUUUUUCUUUUUCUUUUUCACCUUAAUGUCUUUGAAAUCAGGAUGCAUCUUAAAUUUUAUGACAUAAUUAGGAUUGGCAGAGUUUUUUCCUCUAGUGCUACAUGAAAUAAUGGUGCAUCUUAAAAUCAGUAAGGUAUGGCUUGUACAUUCUACUCAUUUAUAAUAUCCAUUAGGUGCUUCGUUUUCUUAUUCCUUGUGUUAAUUCCACCCCUUUUUAUUUUGCUAUGAGAGGCAGAAUUUCUGGUUUUGGAAAUUUUUCAUGAUUUAAGGGUUUGCCUUGAGGGUUAUUUUAAUUCUGAGAUUGGUUAUUGAUUUAGAUUGUAAACACCAUCAACCAUAUCUAGUCAACAGAACAACUUGGGAAAAUGAACACUUAACAUAGUGUUUUGAGUAGCACAGUAUCCUGAUCUGUUACUGUUAGUUUAUUUAACAGAUGGCCUGUAGCCUGGUCUUUAAUAUUAGUUACUAUUUUGUUGAAUAGACUGUAGAAGAACAUUAACUAGAAAACCUGUUUAACUUCAGGCCUAGCUGAGAUUUUCUUGAAUGCUUGCAACUGGGAACACCCUAUGGAUUUAUAGUAAUAUCCUGUUCUUGGAAAAUAAUGAGAAAUUACAUAGUAAUUGUUUUAAGACCUUUACUGUCUCCCAAGGUGAACCACUUUGUAUUACAGAGACAGUAAGUUUUUAGAAACCUAUUUCAAUGGAAAAUCACAAGUCAGUAAUUUCAAAAAAGGCAAGCCAAAUAAAAGUAGAAAAAGGAUCAGAAUUAAUGCCAACUUUAAAUAUACACACAUAAGUUUUUUAUUUAAGUUAGUGAUUCCAAGCCCUUUUUGCACCUGGGGUGAUUUUUAAAUUCUCAGUACCCAGAUGUCUCUGGCAAAUUAAAUCAGAAUGUCUCGGAGUGGUUGCUGGCAUUGAAUUUUUUUAGUUAUUAUAUUACAAAAGCAGCUGGCAUUGAAUUUUUUUCACUCUAUUAUUAUUGUAUUACAAAAGCAAUAUUUUUACAGAUUUUACCCAUGUAUUUAGCCCUGUCUUUGCUCCUCAUGCCUUCUUGAAUCUCUGAUCUUCCAUCUGGGACCACUUUCCUUCUGCCUACAAUACAUUUUGUAGAAUUUCCUUUAGUGAGGGUCUUCUAGUGGCCAGCUGUCAGGUUUUGUUUGUCUGGAAAGAUCUUUAUUCUACCCUGUUCUUAAAAGAUAUUUUUGUUGGUCUAGGUAUCAAUUAUCUAUUUCUGGGUAACAGGCCAUCCCAAAUUCAGUGACUCAAAAACAACAGCUGCUUUCCCAUGUAUCUGUAGGUUAGCAAGUUGGGCAGAGCUUAGUGGGAUGGCUUGUCUCUAGUCUACAUGGUUUCAGCUCAGCUCAUUCAUAUCUCUGUAGUCACUUGUCAGGUCACCUGGGGGCUGGACAGUCAUAUGUCUGGAGGUCUGGUAUAGAAAGGCAAGUUUCAAUGCACAAGCAGUUUUCAAGCCUUUGUUCAUAUUUGCUGAUGUCUAGUGGCCAAGCCCAGGUUCCAGAGUGGAGGAAUUAGACUCCAUCUCUUGAUGGGAGGAGUGACAGUGUCACAUUUAAAGGGCUGUGGGGUGUACAUAAAGAAAUGGGGGAGAAUUAUGGCCUUUAAAAAAAAAUCUGUCACAGAUAGAAUUUUAGGUUGGAAUUUUUUGGGGGGGGGUAUUUUUUCUUUUAGCCCAUUUUCUUCUUGCCACUGUAUUUUGGCUUUCCCUGUUGCUGUUGAGCAGUCAGUUCCUAUGGCUUCUUUUCAGACUUUCUUUGUGUUCUCUCAUUCACUGUGAUUUGUCUAGGUGUGAAUUUCCCUUUAUUUGUCCAGUUUUGGCUUUGUUGAGUUUCUUUUGAUUUAGUGUCUUUCAUUCAUUCUGGAAAAUUCUUAGCCAUUAUCUGCCUCUGCCCCACUCUCUUCUUCUUCUUAGAACUUCAAUUAAGUUAGGUUUCUUGCUGUUUUCCCAUAUUUAUUUUUAUUUCUGUGAACGUUUUAUUAUACACAGAAUGGGGAGAGGGCUCAGUCCUUGGCAGCUGGUUUCCUUUAGGCAGCCAGAACUUUGCUCAGCUCCUGUUGCUUCCUCUUGGCAUGGAUCUGUGUCCCCACUCUAUUCUUGAUGAUCUUGAGGGCAUACUUGUCCUUGGAGACUGUGAGCAGCUCCAGGGUGAUCUGCUUGUAUGAGGUGAAGCCACAUAACACUCUGAUCAUGUCCCUUGGGAAUUCGGUGUGCGUGGUGGGGUGUCCAGAGUGGUGGCUGUGCCUCAGCUUGCUCCUGUGGCCCUUGUUGAAGCCCCGGCCAUGGGGUAUCACAGAACCGUGGCUGCUGUGGUAUAGGCUCCACAUUUAUUAAUGUUUCUUCAUGCUGCAUUCUGAAUAAUUUCUUUUGACUUAUCUUCCACUUUACUAAUUUGCUCUUCUGUUAUGUCCAGAUGCUUAACUCUUUCUGCUCCCGCUCCCCAAGAUUAUUUAUUUGUUUGACAGAGAGAGAGAGAGAGAGAGAAGGAGCACACAGGCAGAGCGGCACGCAGACAGGGAAGGAGAAGCAAGCUGUCUGUUGAGCAGAGAGCCUGACCUGGGGCUCGAUCCCAGGACCCUGGGAUCAUGACCUAAGCUGAAGGCAGGCACUUAACUGACUGAGCCAACCAGGCACCCCAUUUUUUUUUUAAAAUAUUUUAUUUAUUUGAGAGAGAGAGCGAGAGCAGGAGCUGUGGGGGGUGGGGCAGAGGUAGAGGGAUAAGCAGACUCCCCACUGAGCGGGGAGCCCCUGGUGGGGGCUUGAUCCCAGGACCCUGAGAUCAUGACUGGAGCUAUUAGUUGCUUUUAAGAAGAUUUUAAAAUCUUUUAACAUUUUUAAUUGAUUAUAAUUUCAGGAUCAUUCCAAAUAAUCUAACCUACCAUUAUAAGAAUUGGAUUACCACAUCUGUUGUUGUCUUUUUAAGCUUCCCUAUUAGUUUACCUGUACACUAGGUUUAGGAUACUAUUGAUUAAGCAAAUAGAAGAUACAUGGAGAACUAUAAGAAUUAAAUAGGUAGGAGUCACAUUUUAAGAGGGAGAGACCCCCAGAAAACUUGAUUUUCUUCAGUUAGUAAAAGGAUGAAACAAUAUUUUUGUUAUCUUUAGGGCUUUUGAGUUGGUCAGAUAUUUUUGUAGUUAUGUUUACCAAUAUGGAAAAUUGAAGUUUGGUUUGAAAAGAAAAUGAUUACCAAAACCCUUAUUGAUGGUGCUGUAGUGCCUGGAUGACAGAAGAUCAUCCAUACUUGUGAUUUGUGACGUGCCUAGUGAAAAAUAUAGGAUUCAACUUUUUUUUUUUUAAGAUUUGUUUGACAGAAAAGAGAAUGCACAUGUGCAAGUGCACAUGGAGUAGAGAAUGGCAAAGGGAGAGGGAGAGAGAAUCUUAAGCAGACUCCACACUGAGCACAAAGUCCCCAUGGGGCUCAGAUUCAAGACCCUGAGAUUAUGCCCUGAGCCGAAACCCAAGAGUCCGAUGCCUAACCAACUGUGCCACCCAGGUCCCCCUAAGCUUCAAGUCUUAUAUCAACCUUAUUUUGAAGAAAGCUUAAUCGAGUGAUUUAUAUUCAUUUUAGAGUUCAGGUUUGGGUGUUUUGUUUACAGUGAGCCAUUUUCCUAAGCUACCUUAUAUGCAGCCAAGCAAAUAUAAUUUGACAUUCUCCAGUCUAAAUCUACAGGUGAGAUGUAAAAGGAUGUCAUCUGAUUAUUUUGUGUCAUACAGAUUUUUUCCCUUCCACUAAAAACAAAUGUAUCUUUUGUACCCAAUUAUUUUCUGUUACAUUUACGGCUAUGCUAUAGCUAGGGAGAUGACUUAACAGCACUUAACAGGUAGCUUUGCUUGCUACUCCACUUCAAGAACAUGGUGUAUUAUGUUGCUGUUGACUAUACAAACUAGAAAUUAAGGUAUUUAAGUAUUUUAGGAAGAAGAGAUGUUUCAGUGACUUAGAGUAGGCUCUUGUGAUGAUUCUUGGCCUUCGUGGUUUUAAUUAGAUACGUCUUUUUUUGAGCAGCAAAACAAAUGAUUUAGAGCAAUGUGUCAGAGACAUGGCAGAAAGCAAAUCAGAUUGGUGUGGUGAAUGGGAGCUGCUGUUGCUUAUGUUCAUAUGGAAUCUUGCAGUUGAGGAAGUCAAAAGAGGAAAUUAGGGGUGCCUAGGUGGCUCAGUGGGUUAAAGCCUCUGCCUUCAGCUCAGGUCAUGAUUCCAGGGUCCUGGGAUCGAGCCCUGCUGUCGUGCUCUCAGCUCGGCGGGAAGCCUGCUUCUCCCCUCUCUUCCUGCCUGUCUCUCUGCCUACUAGUGAUCUCUAUCUGUCAAAUAAAUAAAUAAAAUCUAAAAAAAAAAAAAAAAAAAAAGAAGAAGAAGAAGAAAAAGAAAUUAAUUAAUUAAUGUAAUUGUACCAUAAGGAAUGAAAUUUUUGCCCCUUAUGUGAUUUGACAACUCUGUGUACCUUGUAACAAGCUUUGGUUUAUUAUGCAUUAAAGUCAAUAUUUAUGUUUACAUUUUGCCCAGUGAAUUAUGUCAAGGAUCAUUGUCAUCUGAGAUAGUCACUAUAAAGCCAAGCUGGAGUUAUUCCAAGCAUUGAAUAAUUCACAGUCCUAUGAAUUGAAAAAUUGAGCUUGUUAAUAUUUACUAGGCUAUAAACAUUUAACCACAUUUUUACAUCAGCGAUCUAACCCCAUUGUUAUGAAAAUAUGAGCAAGUUCUGUUCCUAGAUGUCUUUUUGUUUAAUACACUUUUUUGGUUUUUUGUUUCUCUCUCAACUCUUACAUCCCUAUAGUAGUUACAGCAUCAGCUGCUACCACCACCAGCCACAAAACUGUUUUUUGGUUAGUUUCAUUUCACAGACUUAUCUCCAAGAAAGACAAAAAGAAUGACUUCUUCUGGGGUUACUUAUAUAUCAUCAACUUCUGGGUCUUCAAGAGAGGCAGGCAUUUUAUUUUAUUUUUUUUUUAAAAGAUUUUAUUUAUUUAUUAGACAGAGAGAGAGAGAGAGAUCACAAGUAGGUAGAGCAGCAGGCAGAGAGAGAUGGGGAAGCAGGCUCCUUGCUGAGCAGAGAGCCCGAUACAGGGCUCGAGCCCAGAACCCAGAGAUCAUGACCUGAGCUAAAGGCAAAGGAUCAACCCACUGAGCCACCCACGCAACCCUAUUUUUAAUAGUUCUACAAAACUCGGGGCAUCUGGGUGGCUGUGUCGGUUAAGCGGCUGCCUUCUUCUCAGGACAUGAUCCCAGAGGAUCAAGCCCUGUAUCGGGCUCCCCAAUCAGUGGAGAGCCUGCUUCUCCCUCUCCCUCUGCCUGCUGCUCUGCCUACUUUUACUCUCUGUCCAUCUCUCUAAUAAAUAAAAUCUUUAAAAAUUAGUUCUAAAAAACUCAUUUGAGUUGUUCUGCUGAGAGACUGUUACUAUGGGAUUUCAGCAUACUAUAGCUAUAGUCAGAGAUCUGUUAAUAGAAUUUGUGUAAUAUAAGAUAUAAACUUAUUAGUUUUCCAUCUUCCCAUUAAAAAACAGAUGAGACUUCAAAUAAGCAGGUGAAAAUUUAGUGACUCUUCUAGGCCUUAUUGAAAAAUGUAAUUUAGAAAGCUGAGAGAUCCCAUUGCGAUUAGAAAGAUAAGUGAUAGGAAAGUAUGUCAUGUUACUUUUGGAUGAUACUAGGCAGAAGUUGUUCUUUGGAAUUAAACAGGCCCAUUUGCCAGACUGUAGAAUAAUAAGCUUUAAUGUCUUAGAAGUACUAUAUUUCUUUUUCCUGUAUCCUCUUAAAUUUGGUGACUUCAUUGUACUUAGCAUUAGUAUGUUUCUUUUCUUUUAAAGAAAUCCAGUGGUGUUUAGAUUUCUUUAAAAGGAAAGAGACUUUUACUGUGUUGUCAUUACAACUUUAAAUAAACAUGGGCUAGAUCAAAGAUAAUAAAAUUAUUCUAAUGUUUCCUUCACCUUUGUUUUAUCCAAGUGAGAUUUAAGUAAGAAGUACAUGUUCCUCACUAAAUCGGUUAGGAUUUAUGAUUCUUUGUGGCAACAGGAAGCUCUUUCUAAACUAGGUUAAGCUAAAAAGAGAAUUUGCUUCAUAUAACUAUAAUAAGGAAUAAUACUGGCUUUGGACCGGAGCUCAACCUCUUAGCUAUACUUAUUUUUCUCUUCCCUCUGCUUCUGGAUUGGGUUCCUUCAUGCCUCUGACUGGUGGCAAGGUGGCCAAAGUAGCUGUAUUCCUACUCCAUCUGUGCCAGCAGUAUUUGCAAAUGUUUUAUUGUUUGCCAUUGUCUGAAUCCCCGAAACACUUAAGAUGUUUCAUGUUUAGUCUGAGUUUGGAAUCAUUUGAUUUCCUUCCUAGGAAUGAAGUCCCACCUUCAGUACUGGAAUAGAGUAGGGUUAAAAGUGGGAGAGACAAACAGGAGCUUACUGUAUGUAAUAGAGUUUGAACAUUGGAAGCAGUCACUUAUGUCUUUGGGAGUUUUAUUUCUGAGGUGACCCAAAUCAAGAUCAGUUCUGUUUUUACUUUACUUCUUUCAUUAGAAUAAAGAGAUACCUGCCAUUUUGCUCAUUUCACAUUCUAAAGAGCUGGCAUUAAACAUCACUAAACUACUGUGAACUAGGCUAGAGCUGAGGGAGAUGUUCACAGCAUAGAUGACUUACUGUGUUCUUUCUACUGAAAAACAAAACAAAGGGGACAAAAAAUUCUCUCUGAAAGGCAAGUCCAGGAGGCCAGUGCUCGUGUUUCAUACCAUGAAUUAUAGAUCUCAGCUGUUAAUCAGUCCUCAGUUCUCAAUAAAUUUAAGAACUUUAUAAUAACAAAGUUUUAGUGUUUUGCUGAUUUAAACAGUUUUUAACCUCUAUGAAAUCCUAUCUCUUUAUUUAAUUAUUUAUUUAUUUAUUUUUAAGAUUUGACAGACAGAGAUCACAAGUAGGCAGAGAGGCAGGCAGAGAGAGAGGAGGAAGCAGGCUCCCCACCGAGCAGAGAGCCCGACGCAGGGCUCGAUCCCAGGACUCCGGGAUCACGACCUGAGCAGAAGGCAGAGGCUUUAACACACUGAGCCACCCAGGCGCCCCAUAUCUCUUUAUAUUAAAAAAAGAAUUUAAAAAGCUUUCUAGUCAGAAAUAUUAAUAGCAUUUUAUAAAAGCAAUGAAAAGUAAAUGACAUUUGGGGAACUCACACUUUAUUCCUCAACAAAAAUAAGCCUUAUUCCCCACCCCUACCCCCACAUACCUUUUGCCACUGUCCUACCAUCUUUUAUUUCUUGGGUUAAAGAGUUGACAGAGCUAUACCACAUUAUCUCCUGUUUACAGGUCAAGAGGAUUGGAUCCCUGUGGUAUAGAAUAUGUCAUUUAGUCAAGAUUUUUCUCCUAUAGAAAGUUGAAAACACUAGGUUUUGGAAGACUAUUGAAGAGUCUGGAUUCUUAGACUCCCUAUGUUAUUUUUACAGGCAAAGACAUUUUUCUUUCCUAGCUUCUUAGGUAUUGUUUUGCAACACCUUAAAUAUUUUCUUAUCUGACAUUUUCAUUCUUUCUGUGACUAUAUAUAUUUUUUAUUCACACCUUAGCAACAUGUAUUAGAUUUAAAAUAAUUAACAUUUAAAUAUUUCUGUUGUUUAAUUUUUUGUAGCCUGUUCUUUUUUCCUAGCAUGGAGACUAAACUGGUGAAGAAAAAUUUUGUUGUAUUUUCUACUUCCCAGCAAUUAUUCAUUACACACUUUCUAUAUACUAAGUACAAAUUUAGAGUUAGGAAUGCUCUUUCUGCCUCUGUAUACAUUUCUUUCUCAUACAGUAUGACUGUGUGAUAAGAAAGGCAGAUUGGAGCAGAAAAACACAUGGAGGAAAAAACAAGUAAGAUCUGUUCAGAGUUUAUGUAAAUCAUCUAGAAAAUGAGGAUGGCCUGGGUUAAAGCAAUGACAGAAGAAAGAGAGAUUGACUAAGUUUGAACAACAGCGGAAAAAAGAUGACUCCAGAGAGCUAGUUACAGGACUAGGAUACAGGAUAUGCAGGAGAUAAAGGAAUCAGUGGUAAACCCAAAGUCCCAUUGGGUAUGUGAGAGUUUUUCACUAAGGGCAUUCUGAUGCCAUUCAUGGUAGAAAGAAUUGACUUGGGGACAGAAAUUAACUCUAUUAAAUAAAUAAAUGGGAGAGAAGAGACAAAUCUGUAAGGAAUGGCAGAUAAUUUACAUAGAUACUUCUCAUUGUUGAGGUAGCGCUUAACUCACCAUUCCCCCUUCAGUAUGGGCUGAGCUUAAUUGCUUCCAAAUAGUGGGCAGUGGGAAAGUGGAUGAGGGUCAUUUUACAGUGGAGAAACCUGGCAGACACCCCCUUGACCAGAUGACCAAAGUUAGCAUCAUCAGGGGUGUCAUAUUUAUAUCAUGUAUACCUUUAUUAUGAUGUCUUGAGAAAGGCUCUUCCUGGACACCUGGGUGGCUCAGUUGGUCAGGCUAAGGUCAUGAAUCCAGCAUCAGGCUUCCUGCUCAGCAGGGAGUCUGCCUAUCCCUCUGCCCCUCCCAGCCCUGUUCCUGCCCCCCUACCCCUGCAAAAAUAAAUAAAUAAAAUCUUAAAAAAAAAAAAAAAAGAAUGCCACUUACUCUCUAAAACCUAUGAACCUAUGAGCAAAAUGUCAUGUAAACCUAAAUUGAGGAAUACUCUACCCAGUAGUUGACCCCAGCCUUCCUUAAAACUCUCUAAUGUCAUUAGAGACACAGAGGCUAAGGAGAUAGAAUGACUAAACCCUGAGUGGAAUAAUGUUUGACCAAAUAUCUGAGCACCCUAUAGCCUAGUCAAGUUGAUACAUAGUCUUGUGUCACUGUCCAAAACUAAGAGAGAAUAGGGAGUUAAAGAGGAUAAAGUAUUAAGGAGGAGAGAGUUGUGUGUUAAACAGCAAAAAUAGCAGAGAGCCUCAAGAUGGUAUAGAAAAGAUUAUUUUUAAUGAUAAAAGCCACAUGAAGUAGGAAAUAAGGACCCAUAGACAGACUCUUCAUUUAAAAAGUGAAAGGAAGCGGUGCCUGGGCGGCUCAGUGGGUUGGGGCCUCUGCCUUCGGCUUAGGUCAUGAUCCCAGGUCCUGGGAUUGAGCACCACAUCAGGCUCUCAGCUUAGCAGGGAGCCUGCUUCCCCCCUUCUCUCUGCCUGCCUCUCUGCCUACUUGUGAUCUCUGUCAAGCAAAUAAAUAAAAUCUUAAAAAAAAAAAAAGUGAAAGGAGGAUGCACAGUGACAGACUGGAUAAUAGGGAUGCCUGGGUGGCUCAGGGGGUUAAAUUAAGUCUCUGCCUUCGGCUCAGGUCGUGAUCUCAGGGUCCUGGGAUUGAUCCCCGCAUUGAGCUCUCUGAGCGACAGGAAGCCUGCUUCCUCCUCUCUCUCUCUGCCUGCUUCUCUGCCUACUUGUGAUCUCUGUAAAAAAAAAAAAAAAAAAAAAAAAAUAUAUAUAUAUA